rnacentral:rRNA from 1 species
GCAUAUCAAUAAGCGGAGGAAAAAGAAAACUAACAAGGAUUCCCCUAGUAACUGCGAAGUGAAGCGGGAAAAGCUCAAAUUUAAAAUCUGGCGGUCCUUGUGGCUGUCCGAGUUGUAAUCUAGAGAAGUGCUAUCCGCGCUGGACCGUGUACAAGUCUCCUGGAACGGAGCGUCAUAGAGGGUGAGAAUCCCGUCUUUGACACGGACUACCAGGGCUUUGUGAUGUGCUCUCAAAGAGUCGAGUUGUUUGGGAAUGCAGCUCUAAAUGGGUGGUAAAUUCCAUCUAAAGCUAAAUAUUGGCGAGAGACCGAUAGCGAACAAGUACCGUGAGGGAAAGAUGAAAAGAACUUUGGAAAGAGAGUUAAACAGUACGUGAAAUUGUUGAAAGGGAAACGCUUGAAGUCAGUCGCGUUGGCCGGGGAUCAACCUUGCUCUUUUGCUUGGCGUACUUUCCGGUUGACGGGUCAGCAUCAAUUUUGACCGAUGGAUAAAGGUCAGGGGAAUGUGGCAUCUUCGGAUGUGUUAUAGCCCUUGGUUGCAUACAUCGGUUGGGAUUGAGGAACUCAGCACGCCGCAAGGCCGGGUCUUUGACCACGUACGUGCUUAGGAUGCUGGCAUAAUGGCUUUAAUCGACCCGUCUUGAAACACGGACCAAGGAGUCUAACAUGCCCGCGAGUGUUUGGGUGGAAAACCCGGACGCGUAAUGAAAGUGAAAGUUGAGAUCCCUGUCGUGGGGGAGCAUCGACGCCCGGACCAGACCUUUUUGUGACGGUCCCGCGGUGGAGCGUGUAUGUUGGGACCCGAAAGAUGGUGAACUAUGCCUGAAUAGGGUGAAGCCAGAGGAAAACUCUGGUGGAGGCUCGUAGCGAUUCUGACGUGCAAAUCGGAUCGUCGAAAUUUGGGUAUAAGGGGCGAAAGACUAA